rnacentral:rRNA from 1 species
GACGAACGCUGGCGGCGUGCUUAACACAUGCAAGUCGAACGGAAAGGCCCUGCUUUUGUGGGGUGCUCGAGUGGCGAACGGGUGAGUAACACGUGAGUAACCUGCCCUUGUCUUUGGGAUAACUUCAGGAAACUGGGGCUCAUACCGGAUAUGAUCUCCUGCUGCAUGGUGGGGGUUGGAAAGUUUCGGCGGUUGGGGAUGGACUCGCGGGUUAUCCGCUUGUUUGUGUGGUAGUGGCUUACCAAGGGUGUGACGGGUAGCCGGCCUGGGAGGGGGACCGGCCACAAGGGGACUGAGAGACGGCCCAGAAGCCUACGGGAGGCAGCAGGGGGGAAUAUUGCAGAAUGGGCGGAAGCCUGAUGCAGCAACGCCGCGUGCGGGAUGACGGCCUUCGGGUUGUAAACCGCUUUCGACGGUGACGAAGAGGGAGUGACGGUAAUGGGUAAAGAAGCACCGGCUAACUACGUG